CCCUUAGAUGUCCUGGGCUGCACGCGCGCUACACUGAUGUGUCCAGUAAGCACCUAACCUCUUCCGAAAGGAACGGGUAACCUUUGCAAAGCACAUCGUGAUGGGGAUAGAUUAUUGCAAUUAUUAGUCUUGAACGAGGAAUUCCUAGUAAGCACAAGUCAUCAGCUUGUGUUGAUUACGUCCCUGCCCUUUGUACACACCGCCCGUCGCUCCUACCGAUUGAACGUUCCGGUGAGCUCUUCGGACUGCGCGGUCUGCAGUUUCUGCGUUCCGUGCGGAAAGUUGCGCAAACCUUAACAUUUAGAGGAAGGAGAAGUCGUAACA
rnacentral:rRNA from 1 species